GACGAACGCUGGCGGCGUGCCUAAUACAUGCAAGUCGAACGCAGUGGGGACGGGGGAGUAACACGAGGGUAACGUCCCAUCAGAGGGGAUAACACUUGGAAAAAGGUGCUAAACCGAUAUUGACGGUGGGACCCGCGGUGCAUUAGCUAGUUGGUGAGGUAACGGCUCACCAAGGCCACGAUGCAUAGCCGACCUGAGAGGGUGACGUGCUACACGGGUACAGAGACACGGCCCAGACUCCUACGGGAGGCAGCAUUAGGGAAUCUGCGGCAAGGCAGGAAAGUCUGACCGAUCAAUGCCGCGUGAGUGAAGAAGGGUUUCGGGUCGUAAAGCUCUGUUGUUAGAGGAGCGGUAUCUAACCAGAAAGCCACGGCUAACUACGUGCCAGCAGCCGCGGUAAUAC
rnacentral:rRNA from 1 species